AGUACCAGUACUGAGUCGAUGUACAGGGGUAUGAGGUAAUAACAAGGCUAUAUACAGUACCAGUACUGAGUCGAUGUACAACGAGGUAAUGAGGUAAUAACAUGGCUAUAAGGCCCAGUACUGAGUCGAUGUGCAGGGGUACGAGGUAACAACAAGGCUAUAUACAGUACAUAUAGGUAGGGGUAAAGUGACUAGGCAACAGGAUAGAUAAUAGUGUGUGUGUGUGACAAUUUUUUGGGCCCUUCCUCUGACCCCUGCUGGUGUAGAGGUCCUGGAAGGCAGGGAUCUUGGCACAGUGAUGUACUGUGCCAUUGUCAGAUGCCAAGCAGUUGCCAUACCAAGUGGUGAUGCAGCCAGUCAAGAUGCCCUCAAUGGUGGAGCUGUAGAACACACUGAGGAUCUGAGGGCCAAGUCUUUUCAGUCCACUGAUUCUCUCUGCUGUCGUGUACACUACAGGAACACUAUAGA
rnacentral:lncRNA from 1 species